GGCCUCCUUCUGCAGGGUGAUCGAUCCCGGGGCUCCAUGGUCGAUGGCUCUGCAGAAGGAGGCC
rnacentral:pre_miRNA from 1 species